rnacentral:tRNA from 1 species
CUUUAGGGAGCUGUAAACUUAGCAUUAGCCUUUUAAGCUAAAGAAAAUAAUCAUUUAUUCCUAAAGA